UACGAAGGGGGCUAGCGUUGUUCGGAAUUACUGGGCGUAAAGCGCACGUAGGCGGACUGAUAAGUCAGGGGUGAAAUCCCGGGGCUCAACCCCGGAACUGCCUUUGAUACUGUCAGUCUAGAGUUCGAGAGAGGUGAGUGGAAUUCCGAGUGUAGGGGUGAAAUUCGUAGAUAUUCGGAGGAACACCAGUGGCGAAGGCGGCUCACUGGCUCGAUACUGACGCUGAGGUGCGAAAGCGUGGGGAGCAAACGGG
rnacentral:rRNA from 1 species